GACGUAGGAGGCGAGCGUUGUCCGGAUUCAUUGGGCGUAAAGAGCGCGCAGGCGGCUUGGUAAGUCGGAUGUGAAAUCCCGAGGCUCAACCUCGGGUCUGCAUCCGAUACUGCCCGGCUAGAGGUAGGUAGGGGAGAUCGGAAUUCCUGGUGUAGCGGUGAAAUGCGCAGAUAUCAGGAGGAACACCGGUGGCGAAGGCGGAUCUCUGGGCCUUACCUGACGCUCAGGCGCGAAAGCUAGGGGAGCGAACUGG
rnacentral:rRNA from 2 species